CUAAAAUAGUUGGGAUCCUUGC
rnacentral:piRNA from 1 species